GUAAUUAAUGGAAAAGAUGCUACAGAUAGAUCUCCAUCUCAAAAUACAUAAUAAUAAACAUUCGCUUGCUGGAAUAGAUAUCCAUUGUUCAACUUUCUUUGCAUAUAAAAAAACAUCACCUCCCUUUGUCUCGUAUGAUGCUAGAAUACCUUCAUACCUGAUGUUUUACAGAAACUUCGGUGUAAGAAAUAAUUUACUGGGUGAAUAGUGGAAAUGAAAAAGUACACAAUCUGAUGUUUUCAAGCUCUCAAUAAAUGGAUAUGCUCAGCAGCGGAUGAAAAAAAUCACAAAGCGAAAGCCAACACAAGCCAUAGGAAAAAGUCGUGUGCUCACCUCCAUGCCUGGAAGUUAAACAAGAUAAAGAAAAUGUACAAUAUAAUUGUUUUUGCACGAGAUGUUCCACUCCUAAUCCUAAUCAACUACAUAAUGAACUCCUUUUGCAUAAAUGAUUCCGUCUUCUGGUAUAUUUGGGUUACCGGAAUCUCUCGAGAUGAAAGCUUGAAGCAUGAUUCUGAAAUAUAGAGACACACAUACACCACAAGCAGUAGCAAAGUUUCAAUGCCACCCACGACACCAAAAAAAGUUAAGAUAGAAUAACACUUACAUGUAUAUUAGGUGAAUUCUCCAUAAGCUUGUGGAUGUAUUUAUUAAGCAGUAAGAUAGUUGGCAUUUUCCAUUAUGUCCAUCCUGAAGUCAUAGAUCUAUCACAACAAUAUGCAACUGAACUAUAUAAAGCAUAGCAGAAGAACAUAAAUUAGUACAUCUAUUAAGUUUAUCGGUUAAAUCAUCAUGACAAAAUUCCAUGUAAGAUGAGGCAUAAACUUUAUAUCAAACUGAAACCACCCUUUUAAACAUUUUGUUGACAAAGGACAAUUUUUAUUGUGUGGACGAUAGCUUUAUAUAUUUUACACGCUUCCAAUUAAUCAUGUUGAAGAAAUUUUUGAAAACGGACAAAAGACAAGGAGAGAAGUGAGGAUGCUGAUAUGGUAAACUAGGAUAAAGCAAUAAUGGAGAGAAUAUGUAAACUCACUUGUAACUUGUGACAUAGAUCUUACAGUGGAGAGGCCAGUUCUACAUGACUGGCCAUGGAGCGAGAGCAUGUGUACUCUAAUGCUACGGCAGGGACGCGAGGAAUCUUUUUUUAAGAACAAGCAACAAAGGAACACUGAAAUCUCAGCAAAAUAAGGCACCUAUGACUCAACCUGUCAACGGAAACACUAUUAUAGGAGAUGAAGUUUCACCGGGAGCAGCAACAUUUGUUCAACAGAAAUACUGCUUCUCAUUCAACUAGUUUGGCACCAACCUGCCAAUCAUCCUAGCUGGAUGCUACCACCAAGUGAGUAUAUGCAUGCACGUCUGGACUGUCAAAUAUGUAAAACAUUCACCACUGUUGUGGAGAGUUUACUCCUUUGUGAUGCUUGCGAAAGAGGUAUACACUUAAAUUGCCUUCAACAGUAUGGGAACAAAGGCAUGUCUAAUGCAGACUGGUAUUGCCCAAGAUGUGUAAUGUAUAGUAAGGGCAAACCUCCGCCUCCAAAUUAUGGCAAGAUUUCAAGAAAAAUUAUUGCACCAAAGGCUAGUGGUGUCACUUUUCUAGGAGGUUCAGAAAACCCACGCACAAAAGAUAAUAGUAAAAAAGUGGCAGCAAACAGAAAGUUCCAUCAAGCAGAACUCCAAUGAACCUGGUAGGUCUGUAUGUAACAGCGACAUAUUGGCCUUAGGCACUGCUAGUUCAUAAGCACAAUCGGCCUCUGCUUCUGAACAUCAAAAGGGAAACAUUUAAUAUACUGACACUUUGUCUAAACAAAAUGAAGGAUAUAGCCCAUCUUAAGAGGCGUAAGUACAAAGAGCAAAAUAUUGGUCUUACCUGUCCAAAGAGAUUUGAGAUUACCAACACCAAAAAAUUCCAGUACGAAGCUACAAAAUGAAAUCAAUCGAGCAACGCUAGCAUGAACAUCACCUGUAUGCACAAAUUUUUGGUGUGAGAG
rnacentral:lncRNA from 1 species